ensembl:lncRNA
CCUACAACAUGCCUCAGCGGUUGUUCCCUGUGGAGACAAAAGAUGUCAGUAAUGAUCUCUCUCUCUCUCUCUCUCUCUCUCUCCACAGAGACGCACCAUAUGUCCGUGUUUACUGAGAGAUCAGCUGUGCUCUGGAGUGUGUCACCCUGUGGCCUGAGGUUCCUCACCAUCCGUCUCCUCGUGUGGGCUUCUGUUUUUGCAGACAGCAGCAGAAUGGUAAUGAUAGAGAUCAUGGAGGAUAACUGGAUCCCUUCCAAGAGGGAAGCACUGUAGGGUUCCAUGGUGGUUCUGAUUCUGGCCCGCUCCGUGAG